CUAUGGAAAAUAGUUAAGUUGAAUGAUUUACUUCUGUUAUAUUUGACCAUUUUUAUAUUAUUCCCCACUAUGUUGAUAGUAACUUUAAAUAUAAGGAUUGUCAACAGUUUUGGCUGCUUGAACUCAACUUUUGACAAAUUUUGUUUCGCUUCCGAAAUAUCCACAGAUUUUAAUAAUUUAAAGUUUAAUUUAACUGUUUGCAUAUAUGGGUUGAAAAUUUGUUGGAUUUUGCGUCUAUUGAGUGCCGGAUGUACAGGAAACCAGAACGAUCUGGAGUUUAACAUUGGUUCCAUUGCCGGAAGUUUAGCAGGCUACACUUGCAUGAUAAAUCCGGGAGGAGAUCGAGGAGAAGAUGUCGGCUCGGGUAUAGUGUGCAUGCCAGGACAAGUUGCUGUGGAUGCUAAUUUCGAUAUCCAGCAUCAAUAUGCAAAAUGUGAGUUGAGAACGACGGAAAAUUGGAUGGUUCGAACGCCCUAACCUAAACUAUUCUUCCAGGUUACUAAAUUUGCUGAAAACACAUCAGUUGGAUUAGUUUAUGGUGCACCAGCGAGAGUGAAAACAAGCGUUAUUUACAAUAACAGAACUCGCCAAUCUAGCGCGUAAAGCUGCUUGUUUUACGUGGUGGUAUUCCAGUAAUCUCGGACCGGUCCGGCUCAAAAAUGCAACAUCCGUAGAAGCCCCUCCGACGUUCCGGUGUUCGGUCUAAUGAUGCAGCCAUGGCGAACUAAAGCGAGAACCGAAGCAGAUUGAUUUUUUAAUCCAUGCAAGGAGUACUGAUAUUUCAUAUGUGUCCGAAUAUUCAUGUAUUUAUUAUGUUUAUGUUGAAUAAAACAUCAAUUUUGUUAUUAUUUUUUUGACGAAAUUCAUAAAUAAAACCAACCGAAACUACCGAUACCAGAAUCCAACCACACGAAUGGUUAAAAAUACUAAAAACACAAAUUGGGAUGGUAGCAAUUACUAUGCUGAUUAUUAAUGCACAUAGUAAAAGACACUAAAAUAUAUGGUCGAAAAUAACCACGAAACAUAAACAAAAACAGGCAUGGUAAAUCGAACCCUCUCCAUGGUAAGUUUAAGUACGAAUCAUGGUCUACCAAAAUCAAGUAGUAAAGUUGUCUUAAUUUCACCCUCGAUACAGUCAAAAUUACCAUGUCCUUUUUUACUGAAAAAAAUAUCAUAGUAAUCGGAACUAUCCAUCCAUUUUUAUUUUUACCAUGCCACAUUUUAGUUACCAUAACUAUAAAUAUUGUAUCAAACACCAGCAUCUGGGGAUGACUACUAUGCAUUUGUCAACCUACUACAUAGUCACAUUCACUAUUUGUACCGCUCAAGUCAACUAUGUUUGUGAUGCAAAUUUUACUAUAUAAUUGGACAGCACAACUAUUUUCAUGGUAAACAUGAACAGGCAACAUUCUUGGUUAUGAAAAUAUUUUUAUAAGUUCACACGGCCAAUCGUGUUAGCCUAUAGGCAAAUACCCAUUGUCAAAAUCUUAAGGUAACAGCAAAUAACGUAUCCAUAUUUUUUGGCAAUGUGCAUAAUUUUGGAUUCAAUUUGUUGUAAAGUGUGCACAAUAAGGCUCUCCAAUGACCUGUGUUCACAGAUCCAGCCGAUGAAAGACGGUUCCUGAAUCAAUCCAUUUUAUUUCCCAGCAGGACAAUAAUCGCGUGUCACCGGAAUCGAUCCACCUGUGUCUUGGACGAACAGAAUUUUAUUGGAUGUAAAGAAGUACUAAUAUAACUUGUGAGCAUUUCGUAGCAUAUUAUGCCCAUGAUAGAGGCCUAAGAAAACUUCGGGAAAACAAGAGGAAAUGGCGCCCACAACUGUGGAAGACGACUGAAGGGGGAAAUACGGAUUAGGAGAUGGAUGAAGUGAGGAAGUAGUGACACUCAGUAGGCCACUUCCAGCACCGAUGAGCAAGGCACUAGGAUUCCGGAUGUCUAACGUUCCUUCACCGGUUAUUCUGCUCUCAAUCACAUUCCUGAAGUUCCUCAAUCAUAAGUUCCUAGUCAAGGCUGCCGAAAGUCCAGGAAACAUCACCUUAUCACAGCUGAGCAUCAUCGCGAAACUCCAGAGUCUGGAAAUGACUUGAGCACCGGGUUCAUAGUUCCACGUUCUACCAAUGCCUCACCAGGUAUUCAAAAGAAGAUGUUCAUUCAACCAGAUGUCCAAAUGGUUUUGUUUUUUUUUCUUUUCUUUUAAUUUGAUUAAAUGCAAUGAAACCUAAAAUAAAAUCAAUUAAAGAUCGAUGAAAAUGUAUUUUUUGUGAUUUUUUUAGAAUGUAAACAAAAAGGGGGCACUGCACGUCGAACCAUGCGCAUGGUAAUCUAAACCAUAUAACGAUGGUUAUGUGAACUAUGCUGCUUUUCACACACAUGGUAAAAUGAACCAUGAAAACAGAUUCCAAGUUACCAUAAAAUGUAAACAUAAAGCGACAUGGUAAAUUUAACCCCGCACAUGGUAAUUUCAAGAAGGAAUCAUGGUCUACCAAAAUCAAGUACAGUAGACGUUCGGUCGGUGCAAACGGUUUAACUGCAAUGCUUUUUAACUGCAAGUCCGGUAAGUGCAACAAAUUUGCAGUUAUCGCACCGCCAAACGUCAAAAUGGUGCGCCAUGUUAGCCCAAAUGAACAGUCGGAUCACGUUCACGGUUAUUUUUUGUCGUUUGACAACUUGUUGACAUCUGUCAGUCGUUGCAGUUACCGAAUUUCGUUCGCUAAGUGAAACGUAAACAUGUUGCAGUUAUCGAACGUCUACUGUAGUAAAAG